rnacentral:rRNA from 1 species
CCUACGGGGGGCAGCAGUGAGGAAUAUUGGUCAAUGGGCGAGAGCCUGAACCAGCCAAGUCGCGUGAGGGAGGACUGCCCUAUGGGUUGUAAACCUCUUUUGUCGGGGAGCAAAAGCCGGACGUGUCCGGCUGUGAGAGUACCCGAAGAAAAAGCAUCGGCUAACUCAGUGCCAGCAGCCGAGGUAAUACGGAGGAUGCGAGCGUUAACCGGAUUUAUUGGGUUUAAAGGGUGCGCAGGCGGAUUUUUAAGUCAGCGGUAAAAUCGUGGGGCUCAACCCCAUCCAGCCGUUGAAACUGGGGAUCUAGAGUGUGCGAGAGGUAUGCGGAAUGCGUGGUGUAGCGGUGAAAUGCAUAGAUAUCACGCAGAACCCCGAUUGCGAAGGCAGCAUACCGGUGCACAACUGACGCUCAGGCACGAAAGCGUGGGUAUCGAACAGGAUUAGAUACCCUUGUAGUC